UACGGAGGGGGCUAGCGUUGUUCGGAAUUACUGGGCGUAAAGCGCACGUAGGCGGCUUUGUAAGUUAGAGGUGAAAGCCCGGGGCUCAACUCCGGAACUGCCUUUAAGACUGCAUCGCUAGAAUUGUGGAGAGGUAAGUGGAAUUCCGAGUGUAGAGGUGAAAUUCGUAGAUAUUCGGAAGAACACCAGUGGCGAAGGCGGCUUUCUGGGACGGUACUGACGCUGAGACGCGAAAGCGUGGGGAGCGAACAGG
rnacentral:rRNA from 1 species